rnacentral:rRNA from 1 species
AAGUCGAGCGAACAGACGAGGAGCUUGCUCCUCUAACGUUAGCGGCGGACGGGUGAGUAACACGUGGAUAACCUACCUAUAAGACUGGGAUAACUUCGGGAAACCGGAGCUAAUACCGGAUAAUAUAUUGAACCGCAUGGUUCAAUAGUGAAAGACGGUUUUGCUGUCACUUAUAGAUGGAUCCGCGCCGCAUUAGCUAGUUGGUAAGGUAACAGCUUACCAAGGCAACGAUGCGUAGCCGACCUGAGAGGGUGAUCGGCCACACUGGAACUGAGACACGGUCCAGACUCCUACGGGAGGCAGCAGUAGGGAAUCUUCCGCAAUGGGCGAAAGCCUGACGGAGCAACGCCGCGUGAGUGAUGAAGGUCUUCGGAUCGUAAAACUCUGUUAUUAGGGAAGAACAAAUGUGUAAGUAACUAUGCACGUCUUGACGGUACCUAAUCAGAAAGCCACGGCUAACUACGUGCCAGCAGCCGCGGUAAUACGUAGGUGGCAAGCGUUAUCCGGAAUUAUUGGGCGUAAAGCGCGCGUAGGCGGUUUUUUAAGUCUGAUGUGAAAGCCCACGGCUCAACCGUGGAGGGUCAUUGGAAACUGGAAAACUUGAGUGCAGAAGAGGAAAGUGGAAUUCCAUGUGUAGCGGUGAAAUGCGCAGAGAUAUGGAGGAACACCAGUGGCGAAGGCGACUUUCUGGUCUGUAACUGACGCUGAUGUGCGAAAG